ensembl:lncRNA novel transcript
CACACUGUUCCUGCUUCCUGACAGGUUCACUUGAACCAUCUGGAGAUUGGGGAACAAGGGCAAUGAGUUGAACAUGUAGGAAGUUUCAUGGCCCAGCCCCUCCUGAGAGCCCUGAACUGCCAACCAGACUGAGCCCAUCAGAGAAUAACACCUCAUUUUCUGAGGAUUCUGAUACCUUUUCAAUCAGAAACAGAAGCAAAGAUUCUGCAGCUCCCACAGAAACUCCCAGAAACCUUGCGGUGCUUCACCCUUCUGAGAUCCUUGAGUCCGAAUGUGGGAGCUAACCAGGCACAUCUUCACAAUGAAAUCUUCACAAGCUCAGAACCAUCAACUUGCUACACUGUGUUCCUCCAGUGCCCAGUUCACAGGAAGCACUCAAGAGUAGGAUCAAUUGUUAUCAACCUCUAGCAGAUUAUUGAAUAGACGGUCGUUACAUGAAACUGACACUCAGUUCUUCAUGGUCCACGAUAGUUCUUAUAUCCAGAAAACGUACUUACGUUAUCAACUCUGACUCCAUAAGACAACUUUGCAAAGUCUUGGCUCAUAACUAUAAAUCAAGGCUGAAUCAAACAGGACUACUGUUCUGAAAGAAUACUCAGACUAUGAGUAGUGAAAUGGUGAAAAAUCAGACAAUGGUCACAGAGUUCCUCCUACUGGGAUUUCUCCUGGGCCCAAGGAUUCAGAUGCUCCUCUUUGGGCUCUUCUCCCUGUUCUAUGUCUUCACCCUGCUGGGGAAUGGGACCAUCCUGGGGCUCAUCUCACUGGACUCCAGACUCCACACCCCCAUGUACUUCUUCCUCUCACACCUGGCCGUCGUCAACAUCGCCUAUGCCUGCAACACAGUGCCCCAGAUGCUGGUGAACCUCCUGCAUCCAGCCAAGCCCAUCUCCUUUGCUGGCUGCAUGACAUAGACCUUUCUCUUUUUGAGUUUUGCACAUACUGAAUGCCUCCUGUUGGUGCUGAUGUCCUACGAUCGGUACGUGGCCAUCUGCCACCCUCUCCGAUAUUUCAUCAUCAUGACCUGGAAAGUCUGCAUCACUCUGGCCAUCACUUCCUGGACAUGUGGCUCCCUCCUGGCUAUGGUCCAUGUGAGCCUCAUCCUAAGACUGCCCUUUUGUGGGCCUCGUGAAAUCAACCACUUCUUCUGUGAAAUCCUGUCUGUCCUCAGGCUGGCCUGUGCUGAUACCUGGCUCAACCAGGUGGUCAUCUUUGCAGCCUGCAUGUUCAUCCUGGUGGGACCACUCUGCCUGGUGCUGGUCUCCUACUCACACAUCCUGGCGGCCAUCCUGAGGAUCCAGUCUGGGGAGGGCCGCAGAAAGGCCUUCUCCACCUGCUCCUCCCACCUCUGCGUAGUGGGACUCUUCUUUGGCAGCGCCAUCGUCAUGUACAUGGCCCCUAAGUCCCGCCAUCCUGAGGAGCAGCAGAAGGUCCUUUUUCUAUUUUACAGUUCUUUCAACCCGAUGCUAAACCCCCUGAUUUACAACCUGAGGAAUGUAGAGGUCAAGGGUGCCCUGAGGAGAGCACUGUGCAAGGAAAGUCAUUCCUAAGAGGUGUGACAUUUGAACUGCCAGCCUCAGUUGUCACGUGGACUCUUGAUGCCCAAUUAUUGCCUCAAUCCAGAAAAGUUUACUUCUCUUUAUCUGUGCUUUACUGACAGAAGGGCAAGUCUUCUCUCGUUUUUUGCAGAUAAAAUUUUAGAUGUGUUGCAUUCAUUGGGUUUCUAUGAGAUGUGGUUUUAUCAGACAAUUUUUUCUUUUAUUUCACAAUUACUUUAAUAUCUGUAAAAUAAAGAAUUAUUUUAAUUCAUUUUCCCAGUCCCAAAAGUUAAAUACAGGCCACUUACUUCUUUAACCAAAUGAUAUAGUUUGGCUCUGUGUCCCCACCCAAAUCUCAUGUCAAAUUGUAAUCCCCGCAUGUCAGCGGAGGGACCUGGUGGGAGGUGAUUGGAUCAUGGGGAGGGAUUUCCCCCUUGCUGUUCUGUUGAUAGUGAACGAGUUCUCACGAAAUCUGAUGGUUUAAAAGUGCAGCACUUCUCCCUUUGCUCUCUCUCUCCUGCUGUGCCAUGGUAAGACGUGCCUUGCUUCCCCUGUGGCUUCCGCCAUGAUUGUACCUUUCCUGAGGCCUCUCCAGCCAUGUGGAACUGUGAGCCAAUUAAACUUCUUUUCUUUAGAAA